rnacentral:rRNA from 1 species
UACAGAGGUGGCAAGCGUUGUUCGGAAUUACUGGGCGUAAAGGGCGCGUAGGCGGCCCACUAAGUCAGACGUGAAAUCCCCCGGCUUAACCUGGGAACUGCGUCUGAUACUGGAGGGCUUGAGUAUGGGAGAGGGAUGUAGAAUUCCAGGUGUAGCGGUGAAAUGCGUAGAUAUCUGGAGGAAUACCGGUGGCGAAGGCGGCAUCCUGGACCAUUACUGACGCUGAUGCGCGAAAGCUAGGGGAGCAAACGGG